rnacentral:misc_RNA from 1 species
GAUGAAGAACGCAGCGAAAUGCGAUAAGUAAUGUGAAUUGCAGAAUUCAGUGAAUCAUCGAAUCUUUGAACGCACAUUGCGCCCGCCAGUAUUCUGGCGGGCAUGCCUGUCUGAGCGUCAUUUCAACCCUCAUGCCCCUAGGGCGUGGUGUUGGGGAUCGGCCAAAGCCCGCGAGGGACGGCCGGCCCCUAAAUCUAGUGGCGGACCCGUCGUGGCCUCCUCUGCGAAGUAGUGAUAUUCCGCAUCGGAGAGCGAUGAGCCCCUGCCGUUAAACCCCCAACUUUCCAAGGUUGAGCUCAGAUCAGGUAGGAAUACCCGCUGAACUUAAGCAUAUCAAUAAGCGGAGGA